rnacentral:rRNA from 1 species
GAUGAACGCUGGCGGCGUGCCUAAUACAUGCAAGUCGAGCGAACAGACGAGGAGCUUGCUCCUCUGACGUUAGCGGCGGACGGGUGAGUAACACGUGGAUAACCUACCUAUAAGACUGGGAUAACUUCGGGAAACCGGAGCUAAUACCGGAUAAUAUAUUGAACCGCAUGGUUCAAUAGUGAAAGACGGUUUUGCUGUCACUUAUAGAUGGAUCCGCGCCGCAUUAGCUAGUUGGUAAGGUAACGGCUUACCAAGGCAACGAUGCGUAGCCGACCUGAGAGGGUGAUCGGCCACACGGGAACUGAGACACGGUCCAGACUCCUACGGGAGGCAGCAGUAGGGAAUCUUCCGCAAUGGGCGAAAGCUUGACGGAGCAACGCCGCGUGAGUGACGAAGGUCUUCGGAUCGUAAAACUCUGUUAUUAGGGAAGAACAAAUGUGUAAGUAACGAUGCACGUCUUGACGGUACCUAAUCAGAAAGCCACGGCUAACUACGUG